UGCGUAGGUGGUUGUUUAAGUCCGUUGUGAAAUCCCCGGGCUUAACCUGGGAACUGCACUUGUGACUGCAAGGCUGGAGUACGGCAGAGGGGGAUGGAAUUCCGCGUGUAGCAGUGAAAUGCGUAGAUAUGCGGAGGAACACCGAUGGCGAAGGCAAUCCCCUGGGCCUGUACUGACGCUCAUGCACGAAAGCGUGGGGAGCAAACAGGAUUAGAUACCCCCGUA
rnacentral:rRNA from 1 species